rnacentral:rRNA from 1 species
AUGGUGGCGACCAAGUGCACACAGCAAGCAGUUCUGUGUUUUGUUAUCAAGGAUUUGGCAAUGAGGAGAGUCAUCCUUAGAGGAAAGUGUGAGGGGGGGCUCUAUCCACUCAUAUCAUCGUCAUCAUCAUGGUCAAAUAAACAAGCUUGGAGUGUCACCAAGCCAACUUCAGCAAAGUGGCAUAGUCGCUUGGGUCAUCCAUCCUCGGUCAUCGUUCAGCAUGUCCUUAGCAAAAAUAAACUUCCUUAUGAGUCUAGUGUUGAGUCAGUUUGUGAUUCGUGUCAGCAAGCUAAAAGUCAUCAAUUGCCAUAUCCUAUUUCUACCAGUGUAUCCACAGCUCCAUUACAACUUAUUUUUUUAGAUGUGUGGGGGGCAGCCCCCACAUCAGUUGCUAGAUUAUCAUAUUAUGUAAGUUCCAUUGAUGACUAUAGCAAAUUU